rnacentral:rRNA from 1 species
GACGAACGCUGGCGGCGUGCCUAAUACAUGCAAGUCGAACGAAGCUUUUUUAACUGGUGCUUGCACCGACUUAAACAACUGAGUGGCGAACGGGUGAGUAACACGUGGGUAACCUGCCCCAGAGCGGGGGAUAACAUUUGGAAACAGAUGCUAAUACCGCAUAACCACAGAAACCACAUGGUUUCUGUGUCAAAGAUGGUUUCGGCUAUCACUUUGGGAUGGACCCGCGGCGUAUUAGCUAGUUGGUAAGGUAAUGGCUUACCAAGGCAAUGAUACGUAGCCGAACUGAGAGGUUGAUCGGCCACAUUGGGACUGAGACACGGCCCAAACUCCUACGGGAGGAAGCAGUAGGGAAUCUUCCACAAUGGACGAAAGUCUGAUGGAGCAACGCCGCGUGAGUGAAGAAGGUUUUCGGAUCGUAAAACUCUGUUGUCAGAGAAGAACGUGUGCGAGAGUAACUGUUCGUGCAGUGACGGUAUCUGGCCAGAAAGCCACGGCUAACUACGUGCCAGCCGCCGCGGUAA